UUUCCGUAGGUGAACCUGCGGAAGGAUCAUUCAUAAUCCAGUGUUUUAUGGCACUUUUUAAAAAUCCAUAUCUACGUAGUGUGAAAUGUUAGAUCUCGUCAAUCUUGGCGAGAUUUUUAUACAUCAACUCAUUCUUUAACUAAAUUGUCUGAAAAAUAUUAUGAAUACUUAAUUCAAAAAACAACUUUCAACAACGGAUCUCUUGGCUCUC
rnacentral:misc_RNA from 1 species